UGGGGAAUUUUGCGCAAUGGGGGAAACCCUGACGCAGCAACGCCGCGUGGAGGAUGAAGUCCCUUGGGACGUAAACUCCUUUCGAUCGGGACGAUUAUGACGGUACCGGAAGAAGAAGCCCCGGCUAACUUCGUGCCAGCAGCCGCGGUAAUACGAGGGGGGCGAGCGUUGUUCGGAAUUAUUGGGCGUAAAGGGCGCGUAGGCGGUCGGAUAAGUCUUGUGUGAAAUCUUCGGGCUCAACUCGAAGUCUGCACAGGAAACUAUCUGGCUUGAGUGUGGGAGAGGUGAGUGGAAUUCCUGGUGUAGCGGUGAAAUGCGUAGAUAUCAGGAGGAACACCUGUGGCGAAAGCGGCUCACUGGACCACAACUGACGCUGAGGCGCGAAAGCUAGGGGAGCAAACAG
rnacentral:rRNA from 1 species